rnacentral:rRNA from 1 species
AGUGCUGCAGCUAACGCAUUAAGCACUCCGCCUGGGGAGUACGGUCGCAAGACUGAAACUCAAAGGAAUUGACGGGGGCCCGCACAAGCGGUGGAGCAUGUGGUUUAAUUCGAAGCAACGCGAAGAACCUUACCAGGUCUUGACAUCCUCUGACAAUCCUAGAGAUAGGACGUCCCCUUCGGGGGCAGAGUGACAGGUGGUGCAUGGUUGUCGUCAGCUCGUGUCGUGAGAUGUUGGGUUAAGUCCCGCAACGAGCGCAACCCUUGAUCUUAGUUGCCAGCAUUCAGUUGGGCACUCUAAGGUGACUGCCGGUGACAAACCGGAGGAAGGUGGGGAUGACGUCAAAUCAUCAUGCCCCUUAUGACCUGGGCUACACACGUGCUACAAUGGACAGAACAAAGGGCAGCGAAACCGCGAGGUUAAGCCAAUCCCACAAAUCUGUUCUCAGUUCGGAUCGCAGUCUGCAACUCGACUGCGUGAAGCUGGAAUCGCUAGUAAUCGCGGAUCAGCAUGCCGCCGUGAAUACGUUCCC